rnacentral:rRNA from 1 species
AGACGUUUGACGUCCUGGCUCAACGGACGAACGCUGGCGGCGUGCUUAACACAUGCAAGUCGAACGGAGCACCCCUGAAAGAGUUUUCGGACAAUGGAAGGGAAUGCCUAGUGGCGGACUGGUGAGUAACGCGUGAGGAACCUGCCUUCCAGAGGGGGACAACAGUUGGAAACGACUGCUAAUACCGCAUGAUGUGUUUCGAUGGCAUCAUCGAGACACCAAAGAUUUAUCGCUGGAAGAUGGCCUCGCGUCUGAUUAGCUAGUAGGCGGGGUAACGGCCCACCUAGGCGACGAUCAGUAGCCGGACUGAGAGGUUGACCGGCCACAUUGGGACUGAGAUACGGCCCGGACUCCUACGGGAGGCAGCAGUGGGGAAUAUUGGGCAAUGGGCGCAAGCCUGACCCAGCAACGCCGCGUGAAGGAAGAAGGCUUUCGGGUUGUAAACUUCUUUUAAGAGGGAAGAGCAGAAGACGGUACCUCUUGAAUAAGCCACGGCUAACUACGUG